rnacentral:rRNA from 1 species
CCUACGUGGUGCAGCAGUGGGGAAUAUUGGACAAUGGGCGAAAGCCUGAUCCAGCCAUGCCGCGUGUGUGAAGAAGGCCUUCGGGUUGUAAAGCACUUUCAGUGGGGAAGAAAGCCUUGGGGCUAAUACCCUCGAGGAAGGACAUCACCCACAGAAGAAGCACCGGCUAACUCCGUGCCAGUAGCCGCGGUAAUACGGAGGGUGCGAGCGUUAAUCGGAAUUACUGGGCGUAAAGCGCGCGUAGGCGGUCUGAUAAGCCGGUUGUGAAAGCCCCGGGCUCAACCUGGGAACGGCAUCCGGAACUGUCAGGCUAGAGUGCAGGAGAGGAAGGUAGAAUUCCCGGUGUAGCGGUGAAAUGCGUAGAGAUCGGGAGGAAUACCAGUGGCGAAGGCGGCCUUCUGGACUGACACUGACGCUGAGGUGCGAAAGCGUGGGUAGCAAACAGGAUUAGAUCCCCAGUAGUC